AUUGAACGCUGGCGGCAGGCCUAACACAUGCAAGUCGAACGAGUGGCGGACGGGUGAGUAAUGACUGGGAAACUGCCCGAUGGAGGGGGAUAAAUACUGGAAACGGUAGCUAAUACCGCAUACCCUCGGAUGUGCCCCGAUGGGAUUAGCUAGUAGGUGGGGUAACGGCUCACCUAGGCGACGAUCCCUAGCUGGUCUGAGAGGAUGACCAGCCACACUGGAACGGAGAAACGGUCCAGACUCCUAAGGGAGGCAGCAGUGGGGAAUAGUGCACAAUGGGCGCAAGCCUGAUGCAGCCAUGCCGCGUGUAUGAAGAAGGCCUUCGGGUUGGAAAGUACUUUCAGCGAGGAGGCGUUACUCGCAGAAGAAGCACCGGCUAACUCCGUGCCAGCAGCCGCGGUAAUUC
rnacentral:rRNA from 1 species